UCGUUCUCUUCUCUUCCAAAAUAAGUGAAAAGAAAAAACCAAAGUGACUGAGCCUAUACUGGUGCAAACUAACACAGAGACAGGAACAAUCAUCCACAAAUCCCAACACAAAACAAGCUACCUAAAUAUGGUUCCCAAUCAGAGACAAUGACUAACACCUGCCUCUGAUUGAGAACCAUAUCAGGCCAAACAUAGAAAUAGACAAACUAGACACACAACAUAGAAUGCCCACCCAGCUCACGUCCUGACCAACACUAAAAAGAGGAAAACACACAAGAACUAUGGUCAGAACGUGACAGCUGCUGUAUGUAUCUAGGUAUGAUACGGUUUUAGGAUCUUAAUUUGAUCACUGUAUUGUUGCUUAGAAGUUUAUUGCAUUGUGGGAAACACAGAUAAGCUUUGUGAUUUGCAUAUAUUCAACAGAAUCCUGCACUGAAACGUGGUUAUAUUAAUAGUAUUACACUUAUCAUGCAGCCUUAUUUUGUCCAGCUAAUAGACUCACCACCAAUGGAUCAACAUUACAGAGGAAACGUUCAAAUCCUUUUGCUGCAGGAUUAUUUCACUGCAACAAUACUGGCUAAAUUAAGAUCUUACAUCUGUACAUCUACAGUAUGUGUAUAAUUUGUAAUAUUAGACAAUGUGCAAAAUGUUUCCUCUUUUUGGAACAGAUGGCUAUAAUGUGUGUUUUAUUUACAGGGCAUGAAGAGCCUGUUAACCCAAAGGUUUUUAAGAUUGUAGGAAAAACCUUGGGGUUGAUUUUCCUUUUCAGCCUGAUCGUAUUCUCUGCAUGGAGGAGGAGAACAUCUAGACUCCCCAGUGGGUUUGACAUGACAGACCGUUCGCAGGGACUGGUGGGAAUGAACUCCCCGGUUGGGACAGUGUGCUCUAACCAGGCCACGGUCAGUAGAGGGAACCAGUAA
rnacentral:lncRNA from 1 species